rnacentral:lncRNA from 1 species
AUUAGCAUACUUAUAAAAUGUCAAGGAGCAUUAAUUGACAAUUUCUGAGACCUUCCUUGCUAAAUACCAGCUCAGUGCCGAAACCUGUCUCUGCACAUUUAAUAUAUGGAAAAUAAUGCUUAUUCAUCAGUGGCUUAUGUAACGUGGAAUUAAUUUCAUGGCAGCCAGAGAAAGAUGGUAUAGAGAGUCCUUUAUCACAGGAAGCGCUGAAAAUAAAGCUUCGUGCCCCACCAGGGAACUUCUGAGAUGGGAUUCAGCGCUUCAGAAAACAAGGCCAUGUCAUUCUAUGUGUAAAUAGUGGCUUACUAACCUAAUUCUGGGCCUUCUUUGGCAGAGCACUGGCCUAUGUUAAGAACCUGUAACAUCAGCUGCACCUCCUGGACUUGGAAUGAGCACAGCAGAUGUGUGUUAUCAACAGGAACAGUGCGGGAAUGGCAGGAGAUCCCACCCCAAAGCUCAUCUGCAAAGUGGGGAUAACACUGAACGCUUCCAGUUCAGAAAGAAAAAAACGUUUUAACCCAUCUGCCAAGCAACUGCUUCAAAUUAUAUUUUGUGAUAAAAGCAAAUGAAGCGUAAUUGAGAAGAGACAAGAGAAGCUUGCCCUGAGAACAGAACGCUAAGAAACGCGUUGUGACAACAGUGCAAUGUAUAUU